rnacentral:rRNA from 1 species
CCGGGCCGGUCCCGCCGCCCCCGCCCGCCUACGGGAGGCAGCAGUGGGGAAUUUUGGACAAUGGGCGCAAGCCUGAUCCAGCCAUGCCGCGUGCAGGAUGAAGGCCUUCGGGUUGUAAACUGCUUCAGUACGGAAAGAAAAGGCUCUUUUUAAUAAAGGGGGUGCAUGACGGUACCGUAAGAAUAAGCACCGGCUAACUACGG